rnacentral:rRNA from 1 species
UACGUAGGUGGCAAGCGUUGUCCGGAUUUAUUGGGUUUAAAGGGUGCGUAGGCGGCUUUGUAAGUCAGUGGUGAAAUACGGUAGCUUAACUAUCGAGGUGCCAUUGAUACUGCGAGGCUUGAGUACAGAUGAGGUAGGCGGAAUUGACGGUGUAGCGGAUGAAAUGCUUAGAUAUCGUCAAGAACACCUAUAGCGAAGGCAGCUUACUAGGCUGUAACUGACGCUGAGGCACGAAAGUGUGGGGAUCAAACAGG